rnacentral:tRNA from 1 species
GCUUUAAUAAUUUAAAUAAAAUAUUGGUCUUGUAAGCCAAAAAUAAGAAUAACUUUUAAAGCU